ensembl:lncRNA novel transcript
ACCACUGGAGGGGUUUGAGCAGAGCCAUGGCAUAUACUGAUCUACGUGUAUGUGUUUCUAAGCAAAACUUCUUGGAAGAAAAGGAAAUUCUUAGAAGCAAUUAGAGUAUCACACCCAUGCUAUACCCUUUGAUUCAUUAGCUUGCUCUGUUUUUCUGUUAUUUUGAAAUUACCCAAGUGGAAGCAGAAAAACUGCCAGGAAAAUGUCACAGCCACCCCUUACUGAACAGCAGAAACACCAGCAAAACACCAACUGCAACAUGGUGUAUUUUGAAGGUGAGAUUAAAUUUACCUACACCUAGAGAAAUAAUUGGAGCACAUGUCUAUUUGGGCCAAGAGGAUAAAGGCCAGUAGAGGAAUCAGAUCAAAGAACUUCCUCAGGGAAGUGUGCAGAGAACUGGAGUGGACCUUCCCCUAGGAAGCUGCCCAAAACGAGAGUGCUGGAAAGCUGGCCGCAGUGAGGCACUUCAGAUCCCAAGGGUAUGCUGGGGAAGCUGCCACAGGUGGGAGCACUUGCUGCUGGACCCUAGGCACUGUUGAAACAACUGCACCAUCUGCAGGAGCCCAGCAAGCCAAAGCCAGGCAUCCCAUCUGGAGAGAGAGAAGACUGAAGCAGAAACACAAUGGGAAGGAAGCAAAGAUGGAGAGAUGAGUUUUUGGAUUCAACUGAAGCCCUUGCUAUCUGCUAGAGUCAGAGUCAUCACAAUUGGGGGGUCUUCAUUAAGCUACACUUUUUAAUGGAACAUCCUAGUGAGGUUUGAGAGUACAGCUUUAUGGUCUAUAUUACAUUACUAAGCCGAUUUUAUUGGAAAGAACUUGUUUGCAUCCCUGCUAGACAAAAACCUACAAGUUAACCUUUGCCCGUAUGGAGUUGUAAAACAGACCAGUUGAUAGAAAGAGAAGCCUGCUUCCCGAAGCCCUCAGCAGAAGCCGAGCAGAUGUUGGCACCAUGCUUCUUGUACAGCCUGCAGAACUUGAAGAAACACUCCAUAUUAGUUUUCUGGAGCCAUCGUUAUGAAGCAACACAGACUGGGUGGCAUAAACAAUGGAGAUUUAUUUUUUCACAAUUCCGGAGGCUAGAAGUUUGAGAUCAAGGUGUUGGAAAGUGUCUCAGGAUGAUACAUACCGGUUUUUAACUUUGGUGUCAUCAAAUGCAAUUGCAAUGUGACUGUUUCUUGAAAGCCCGAACUGCUUGCUCCCUAUCAAAAGAGCUGGUUCUGAUUCUGCAGCACAAGGACCCUGUAAAAUACCCAGGAGAGAAAAACAGGAGAUUAUGGACUGUUCUUUAAAAAGGAAGAAGAACACCUCCUGGAUUAGAUCCUCCGUUUCUGCAACGGGCAGCCCUCAAGAAGCAGGCAGAAGCAGUGCUUAAUAAAACGGUAUUCUCAGAUGAGCCAAUGUUAUGGAAAAGAGUUGUACCAAACUGAUCACUCUAACAUGUAACCUCAAAGUUUAAAGCCAUUAUGGUGUAUAGUCCUUUGUUUUUAAGGACAUCCAAGGUGAUGUUUACUAUCAAUCAUUGAUUUGCAACAGGAUGGAUACUGUUUUAAUAAAACUUCUAUCACCUUCCUUUAUUAAA